rnacentral:rRNA from 1 species
UUUUUUUGAAUUUUAUNUAAAAUUUAAUCUGCUCACUGAUUUAAAAUUAAAGAGCCGCGCAGUAAAUUAACUGUGCAAAGGUAGCAUAAUAAAUAGUUUUUUAACUGGAAUGAAACAUUGGAUGAAAGUUAAACUUUUAGGUUUUAAAAUUUAGUUAGAAUUUUGGUUUUAAGUAAAAAUACUUAAAUUUUAUUAUGGGACGAGAAGGCCCUAUAGAUUUUUAUUAAUAAAAUUUAAAUUUUAAUUUGGCUUAUUAAAGAAUUAACAAUUAUUUAANAUUUUGAUCCAUUAGUUUUAUGAUUAAUAGAUUAAAUUACCUUAGGGAUAACAACAGCAUACUUUAUUUGAAAAGUUCAUAUUGAAAAAUAAUUUUGNGACGACCUCGAUGUUGAAUUAAGAAAAGAAUUGGGGGUAGGUAGAAAUUCAAUUUCUAAGUCUGUUCGACUUUUAAAUUCU